UACGGAGGGUGCAAGCGUUAAUCGGAAUUACUGGGCGUAAAGCGUGCGCAGGCGGUUUGUUAAGUCUGCUGUGAAAUCCCCGAGCUCAACCUGGGAAUGGCGAUGGAUACUGGCGAGCUAGAGUGUGUCAGAGGAUGGUGGAAUUCCCGGUGUAGCGGUGAAAUGCGUAGAGAUCGGGAGGAACAUCAGUGGCGAAGGCGGCCAUCUGGGACAACACUGACGCUGAAGCACGAAAGCGUGGGGAGCAAACAGG
rnacentral:rRNA from 1 species